rfam:Picea glauca, whole genome shotgun sequence.
ACAAUGGUGUUUUUCAACACCACCAACUAAAGUCCUGAAAAGAUG